GAUGAAGAACGUAGUAAAAUGCGAUAAGUAAUGUGAAUUGCAGAAUUCAGUGAAUCAUCGAAUCUUUGAACGCACAUUGCGCCCGCUGGUAUUCCGGCGGGCAUGCCUGUUCGAGCGUCAUUUCAACCAUCAAGCCCCCAGGGGCUUGUGCUGGGGCCCUGCGGCUGCCCGCAGGCCCUGAAAACCAGUGGCGGGCUCGCUAGUCACACCGAGCGCAGUAGCACAUCUCGCUCAGGGCGUGCGGCGGGCUCCUGCCGUGAAACCCCCCACUGUAACCCCAAAGGUUGACCUCGGAUCAGGUAGGAAUACCCGCUGAACUUAAGCAUAUCAAUAAGCGGAGGA
rnacentral:misc_RNA from 1 species